UACGAAGGGGGCUAGCGUUGCUCGGAAUCACUGGGCGUAAAGGGUGCGUAGGCGGGUCUUUAAGUCAGGGGUGAAAUCCUGGAGCUCAACUCCAGAACUGCCCUUUGAUACUGAAGAUCUUGAGUUCGGGAGAGGUGAGUGGAACUGCGAGUGUAGAGGUGAAAUUCGUAGAUAUUCGCAAGAACACCAGUGGCGAAGGCGGCUCACUGGCCCGGUACUGACGCUGAGGUGCGAAAGCGU
rnacentral:rRNA from 1 species